rnacentral:rRNA from 1 species
GGUUUGAUUAUGGCUCAGAUUGAACGCUGGCGGGAUGCUUUACACAUGCAAGUCGAACGGCAGCACGGACUUCGGUCUGGUGGCGAAGGCGAACGGGUGAGUAAUGUAUCGGAACGUGCCUAGUAGCGGGGAUAACUACGCGAAAGCGUAGCUAAUACCGCAUACGCCCUUCGGGGGAAAGCGGGGGACCUUCGGGCCUCGCACUAUUAGAGCGAGCCGAUAUCGGAUUGGCUAGUUGGUGGGGUAACGGCUCACCAAGGCGACGAUCCGUAGCUGGUUUGAGAGGACGACAACCACACUGGGACUGAGACACGGCCCAGACUCCUACAGGAGGCAGCAGGAGUGGAGAAUUUUGGACAAUGGGGAAACCCUGAUCCAGCCAUCCCGCGUGUGCGAUGAAGGCCUUCGGGUUGUAAAGCACUUUUGGCAGGAAAGAAACGGCACGGGAUAAUACCCCGUGCGGCUGACGGUACCUGCAGAAUAAGCACCGGCUAACUACGUGCCAGCAGCCGCGGUAAUACGUAGAGUGCAAGCGUUAAUCGGAAUUACUGGGCGUAAAGCGUGCGCAGGUGGUUCGGAAAAGAAAGAUGUGAAAUCCCAGAGCUUAACUUUGGAACUGCCAUUUUUAACUACCGAGCUAGAGUGUGUCAGAAGGGAGGUGGAAUUCCGCGUGUAGCAGUGAAAUGCGUAGAUAUGGAGAGACACCGAUGGCGAAGGCAGCCUCCUGGGAUAACACUGACGCUCAUGCACGAAAGCGUGGGGAGCAAACGGGAUUAGAUACCCUGGUAGUCCACGCCCUAAACGAUGUCAACUAGCUGUUGGGGCCUUCGGGCCUUGUGGCCGCAGCUAACGUGAGAUUGACCGCCUGGGAGUACGGUCGCAAGAUUAAAACUCAAAGGAAUUGACGGGGACCCGCACAAGCGGUGGAUGAUGUGGAUUAAUUCGAUGCAACGCGAAAAACCUUACCUACCCUUGACAUGUCUGGAAUCCCGAAGAAGAGAUUUGGGAGUGCUCGCAAGAGAACCGGAACACAGUGCUGCAUGGCUGUCGUCAGCUCGUGUCGUGAGAUGUUGGGUUAAGUCCCCGCAACAGGCGCAACCCUUAUCAUUAGUUGCUACGAAAAGAGCACUCUCUAAUGAGACUGCCGGUGACAAACCGGAGGAAGGUGGGGAUGACGUCAAAGUCUCAUGGCCCUUAUGGGUAGAGACUACGUCAUACAAUGGUCGGGACAGAGGGUCGCCAACCCGCGAGGGGAGCCAAUCCCAGAAACCCGAUCGUAGUCCGGAUCGCAAUCUGCAACUCGACUGCGUGAAGUCGGAAUCGCUAGUAAUCGCGGAUCAGCAUGUGUCGCGGUGAAUACGUUCCCGGGUCAUACACACCGCCCGUCACACCAUGGGAGUGGGUUUUACCAGAAGUAGUUAGCCUAACCGUAAGGAGGGCGAUUACCACGGUAGGAUUCAUGACUGGGGUGAAGUCGUAACAAGGUAG